UACGUAGGUGACAAGCGUUGUUCGGAAUUACUGGGCGUAAAGAGCGCGCAGGCGGCUGGUCAAGUCCGAUGUGAAAUCUCCCGGCUCAACUGGGAAACUGCAUCGGAAACUGAUCGGCUUGAAGGUGGGAGAGGGUAGUGGAAUUCCCGGUGUAGUGGUGAAAUGCGUAGAUAUCGGGAGGAACACCAGUGGCGAAGGCGACUACCUGGCCCAUUCUUGACGCUGAGGCGCGAAAGCUAGGGGAGCGAACGGG
rnacentral:rRNA from 1 species